rnacentral:lncRNA from 1 species
CGAGGUUGCUGACGAAUCUACUAUUAUCGGAUGCUUCGGGCGCUGACAUCUCAGGCGGGAGUCACCUGCUGUAGGAGCUCGGAUGGAGAUUUUCUGUUGGCGAAGUCUGGGGAAGUCCGAUCGCUAGAAAAGUCCAUCUGAGAUUUAUCUGAUGUGGAAGCUCAUCCGAAGAUCGUCCAUCGAAAAAGUCUGAUUUUAUGGGAAGCCUGAUAGGAGGUCGGCCGGCGAUGGACUUCGGAUAGUGCUAGAGAGGCUCGGCAGACAUCGGAGGCAAUCGACUAUCGUAGGGACCCAGCUGCUGGAGCUCAUCCGAAACCC